rnacentral:lncRNA from 1 species
CUACUAAAAAUUUUUCAAAUCCGCCGCUGCACAUAGGUGAAAUCUAGAAAAGAGCAAGAAAGAAUUCAUAUUGGUCAAUGAAUUCAAAUAGUGGGAACAACGGAACCCAAGUGGGAACAACGGAACCCAAAUUGGUCAAUGAAUUCAUAGUGGAACAAUAGAACCCAAAUUGGCCAAUGAAUCCAUACUUGGGCUUGUAAUCCCAAAUUGGUAAGCCUCAUCUCUUGGGUCGACCCCAAUUUAACCUAGGCCUUGUUUACUUGGAGUUUGUUUUUUUGGUUGCCAUAUUUGGCUUCUAUGCAUGACCUUUGUUUACAUAAUUGUAGCUUAACUUGCCAUCAAUUGGUAUGAGAGAAAUUCUCAUGCAACGGGAAUAUAU